rnacentral:rRNA from 2 species
AAAUUGAAGAGUUUGAUCAUGGCUCAGAUUGAACGCUGGCGGCAGGCCUAACACAUGCAAGUCGAACGGUAACAGGAAACAGCUUGCUGUUUCGCUGACGAGUGGCGGACGGGUGAGUAAUGUCUGGGAAACUGCCUGAUGGAGGGGGAUAACUACUGGAAACGGUAGCUAAUACCGCAUAACGUCGCAAGACCAAAGAGGGGGACCUUCGGGCCUCUUGCCAUCGGAUGUGCCCAGAUGGGAUUAGCUAGUAGGUGGGGUAACGGCUCACCUAGGCGACGAUCCCUAGCUGGUCUGAGAGGAUGACCAGCCACACUGGAACUGAGACACGGUCCAGACUCCUACGGGAGGCAGCAGUGGGGAAUAUUGCACAAUGGGCGCAAGCCUGAUGCAGCCAUGCCGCGUGUAUGAAGAAGGCC